ensembl:lncRNA
GGCAUCCUGUGAGAAGAAACCAGUGAUCAAGAGAAGUUUCUUGAUACAAUAUCUACCUGUAACUUGUUAGCCAGUGAAAAGAAGAACACGGCUUUGCUUCUCCUUACCUGCCAGUUUCUGCAGAGCUCUACUGCAACCUUGGAUCACGGGUUGCGGUGUUGGCAGUGUGCUAGCAGUAGGUCCUCCACACAACUUAACGGUUGGAGACGACUGCACUGUAACCCCAUCUGACCUGUGAAAACAGAUGAAGGAACUUUCACAAUGCAACGUAGAAAGAUAAAUACUCGCUGAUUGAUAUGAUCUCAGGUGAGCGCAGAAAACAGCCUGACUAAUGGAAACAUGAUCUCAAGAGAUUCCUUCAGGAUCAUACUUAAUCCUGGUUUGGACUGUGGACAUAGCAUCGCCUGCAGCAGAUGUUUGCUCCUGGCAUGGCUGCAAACUGCAUGAGCUCCAUCACCGACAAUCCAGUUCUCGGGAUGCAUCGCCAGCAGCUUGGACACGGAGAAGCUGUGACACAAACUCAGCAGGACAGUGGAGUGUAUUCUGCUGCUCGGAUAUUAUGGAACAGACCGGUCAACCUCGUCUGGAGAGGCACUCGAUAGGAAAAUCAGCUCUAUGAGGCUACGAUUACCGCGGUUACCACAAUGGAUCUACACAUUGUUUGACUUUUUCUAAAUUGAACCUGGAUUAAUAUUUCCCUGUAUAUACAUCUGCUUUUGAUAUUCAGUGUUUAUUCCCGCUGUUGCUCAUUCCCUGCACUUAUAUACUGUGUUAUUCUGGAUACAGUAUCAACAAAUGCUGGAACAGUAAACGGAAAAUAAUCAGCUGUUAUUUCCUCUUUAGGUCUAUUAUUUUUACAGGAGGAAGGCAGCACUUACACCAAUCUCGUAAGGAGCAAACUAAAUGUUUUCCUGUUGAAUUAAUUAACACACAUAGGAAUUGUCACAGGGAUUACUCAAUUAAUAAACAUUCAACAUCUUCCAAUUAAGAAAAGAUAAUCCUUUAUUAGUCCAGCAGCAGGGAAAUUACAACAAUUGCCUUCACAAUGAAGCCAUUGAACCAAAGGUGCUUAUGAAUACAACUAUUGACAACUCUUUGGGAGUCUUGUUCAUUCUGGUUGAGGAAUCUUUUCCAACUCUUUGAUCUGAUAAAGACGUAUUGCUUCAUCGGACUUGUCUGUGUAACCCUCGAACAGAAAUAAAAAAGAAAAGGUG